CCUGUCACAGUUUAACUGCGUUUGUUCUGCUUCUGUAAGCUUGCUUUCCCCACCCCACAAGUUUUGCACCACAGGCCAACACCCUUUGGUCACAUGAAUAAAAGUCAAGCCCUUUCUUUGCUCAUUGCUCAGCCUCUGGGUAUUAAUCUGCUGAGCUGGUGGCCACCUAAAUACAAUCGUCCUGUUCCCCUCAUUGGUCUCUCCGGUCUCCUGAUUCCAGCCACAUUUUGGUGAGCCAGCCAGGAGUGAAGACGACAGGUUUGCUGUCUCCUUUGCCUGUGGGUCUGGGGCCCCAGCCUGGGGGAGACCCGUGACUCCAGGCAUGCUAUCAGGACAACUUCAACCCGAGGGGAGAUCAGCUCUCCCGCAACCUGGUGCCGCUCUCUGACAGCACAACAGAACCUAAGGGGCUACAGGAUGAUUCAAGGAACAGUGUGCUACAGGACCUCGGUAUUCCUGCUGAGAGUCAUUUCCUGUGCUGGAUUUACCAUCACAGGGACCAGAUUUAUAGAAAAAUGAACAUGUAUUGUUGCUAAAUGGAGUUGGUCAUGGAGUGGAAACUAACAAUAUGUUCACCUAAAUGUGCUACAACCACUCAAGGUCUGCAAACAGAUUCCUAUUUAGAUGUUGUUGAGAGCUGAAUUUCUGGAACAAGAGAUAUAGAUUAAGACUGUUGUUACAUGUUGCCUACAUGACUUUCAAAAGCUUGAUUCCCAGUGGCGCUCUCAACAGCAGUCAUAAACAAUG
rnacentral:lncRNA from 1 species